AAAGCAAGAACCGUCUCACUGGCCUUC
rnacentral:sRNA from 1 species